rnacentral:rRNA from 1 species
GACGAACGCUGGCGGCGUGCUUAACACAUGCAAGUCGAACGGAAAGGCCCUGCUUUUGUGGGGUGCUCGAGUGGCGAACGGGUGAGUAACACGUGAGUAACCUGCCCUUGACUUUGGGAUAACUUCAGGAAACUGGGGCUAAUACCGGAUAGGAGCUCCUGCUGCAUGGUGGGGGUUGGAAAGUUUCGGCGGUUGGGGAUGGACUCGCGGCUUAUCAGCUUGUUGGUGGGGUAGUGGCUUACCAAGGCUUUGACGGGUAGCCGGCCUGAGAGGGUGACCGGCCACAUGGGGACUGAGAUACGGCACAGACUCCUACGGGAGGCAGCAGGGGGGAAUAUUGCACAAUGGGCGGAAGCCUGAUGCAGCAACGCCGCGUGCGGGAUGAGGGCCUUCGGGUUGGAAACCGCUGUCGCCGGUGACGAAGCGUGAGUGACGGUAAUGGGUAAAGAAGCACCGGCUAACUACGUG